CAAAAAUAUAAUGUUUUGUUAAUUCAACGUUGUCACCUUGAAAAGCCCUCAGUCAAUUAAUUGUUUCUGGAAAACCUGGGAGGGAGGGAGGCAGGCAGUCAGGGAAGCAGGUAGGCAAGGAGGCAGGUAGGCAAGGAGGCAGGUAGGCAAGGAGGCAGGUAGUGGGACAGGGAGGGAGGGAUGCAGGCUGGUGGGAAAGUAGGGAUGGAGGGAGGCAUGCAUGCAGGGAGGCAGGUAGUGGGACAGGGUGGAAGGUAGGCAGGUAGUGGGGCAGGCAGGUAGUGGGGCAGGCAGGCAGUGGGACAGGGAGGGAGGUAGGCAGGUAGUGGGGCAGGCAGGUAGUGGGGCAGGCAGUGGUGCAGGUAGUGGGGGAGGCAGGUAGUGGGGCAGGCAGUGGUGCAGGUAGUGGGGCAGGCAGUGGGACAGGGAGGGAAGUAGGCAGGUAGUGGGGCAGGCAGGUAGUGGGACAGGCAGGUAGUGGGGCAGGCAGUGGUGCAGGUAGUGGGACAGGCAGGUAGUGGGGCAGGCAG
ensembl:lncRNA